rnacentral:misc_RNA from 1 species
AAGUCGUAACAAGGUUUCCGUAGGUGAACCUGCGGAAGGAUCAUUAACACGUAUCCAAACGUUAAAACAACCCUGUGAAUAUUAACGUGUUCUUCCAGGCAACUAAAACAGCAAUCUCUCGUAAAACAGGCGCUAAAGAAUUACAGAUAUUGAUUUGAGAGAUUUCUGUCACGUACGUUCGACGCUGGAAUCGAGCACUAGAUAAAGCACGGGGUAACGCAGUCAACGAUCGCUGUAGGUCCACACGACCGGCGACCGGGGUGGAGGCGAAAGCCCCUACGUCACCCCUAUGUACCCUCCGGGACUUGGCGAAAGCUGACUCCGUCAUAAAUCGAACAACUGUUAACAAUGGAUAUCUUGGUUCUC